rnacentral:rRNA from 1 species
CAGCAGCCGCGGUAAUACGAAGGGGGCUAGCGUUGUUCGGAAUCACUGGGCGUAAAGCGCACGCAGGCGGAUUGAUAAGUCAGGGGUGAAAUCCCGGAGCUCAACUUCGGAAUUGCCUUUGAUACUGUCUAUCUUCGAGUCCGGGAGAGGUUGGCGGAAUUCCUAGUGUAGAGGUGAAAUUCGUAGAUAUUAGGAAGAACACCAGUGGCGAAGGCGGCCAACUGGCCCGAUACUGACGCUCAUGUGCGAAAGCGUGGGGAGCAAACAGGAUUAGAUACCCUGGUAGUCCACGCUGUAAACUAUGGAUGCUAGCCGUUGGGGAGCUUGCUCUUCAGUGGCGCAGCUAACGUCUUAAGCAUCCCGCCUGGGGAGUACGGUCGCAAGAUUAAAACUCAAAGGAAUUGACGG